GACGAACGCUGGCGGCGGGCUUAACACAUGCAAGUCGAACGGAAAGGCCCUGCUUUUGGGGGGUGCUCGAGUGGCGAACGGGUGAGUAACACGUGAGUAACCUGCCCUUGACUUUGGGAUAACUUCAGGAAACUGGGGCUAAUACCGGAUAGGAGCUCCUGCUGCACGGUGGGGGUGGGAAAGUUUCGGCGGUUGGGGAUGGACUCGCGGCUUAUCAGCGUGUUGGUGGGGGAGUGGCUUACCAAGGCUUUGACGGGUAGCCGGCCUGAGAGGGUGACCGGCCACAUUGGGACUGAGAUACGGCCCAGACUCCUACGGGAGGCAGCAGUGGGGAAUAUUGCGCAAUGGGCGGAAGCCUGAUGCAGCAACGCCGCGUGCGGGAUGACGGCCUUCGGGUUGUAAACCGCUUUCGCCUGUGACGAAGCGUGAGUGACGGUAAUGGGUAAAGAAGCACCGGCUAACUACGUG
rnacentral:rRNA from 1 species